CAAAAGCCGGUAGCCGCCAUGCAGUAUGGCUAUUGGCUAGUUUUGUAUCCAAAUGUAUCGACAAAAUUCAAAUAAAGAUCAACGACUAUGACGAUGCCAAAGAUUAAAAAACAAACAAGAUGGAAGACCUGCUAUUUUUAUAUCAAAAUUAAUGCUAAUUUUUUCAACAAUUAGAUCAACUGCUUAAUUAAGGACAGUUACCAAUUCACAAGACACGGCAUGUGAAUUGGUAACUGACAAAUUUAUGAAAGAUGCAGACAAAUGAAGGAUGAAAAGUACUAGACACAUUUCAAUACCAGCUACAAGUCCAAUAUACCACCACCGGUCCAAUAUUUUUAUUUUAAUACAUUUUAAAGUUUAAAAUUAUAAAACAUUUUCAUAAUACACCAAUUUUUAAAUAAGAUGUCCC